rnacentral:tRNA from 1 species
GGCCGAGUGGCGGAACUGGCAGANNCGCGCACGACUCAAAAUCGUGUAUCCCAAAAGGAUGUGUGGGUUCGACCCCCACCUCGGCCACCA